AUCGCUUCUCAGCCUUUUGGCUAAGAUCAAGGGUAGUAUUUAUUCUUCUCAGUUUGAAAAUCUCCUUUAAAAAAAUAAAAAGAAAUAGCCGAAAGAGGUAUGUUACCUGUGAUCUCCCACCUUAUGCAUCAUACAGACAUGUGCGCGCACACACACAGGCAUACAUACUGACGUGUAUACACGAAUAUAUUAACACCU